GGCAGAAUAGCUCAGUUGGAUACCUUCGGGUUAGAGCAUCUUGCAUGUAAUGAGAAGGUCCUGGUUUGAUCCCCAGUUCAGCCA